rnacentral:lncRNA from 1 species
UUGGAAUAAAUUUUGUUCCUAAAUGCUCUGGCACAUUUGGCCUUAUUUCCAGCGGCGGCGAAAGGUCGGGAAGGCCCCGGCGUUGGCGCGGAGACCCGGACCGUCCAGAUGUUUCGCCAAGACCUCCAUGACAUCGUGUGCAUCAGGCCGGGCAUGUGGUGUGACUCGCGAGGUCCCACACCUCAAACAUCGGCAGAGUUUCUGCGCUGGACAAAUACUCUUGGUUAACUGGAGAUCAGGAAGAAUCAGGGGACUCAGAUCCUAGUCCCGGUUCUGCCUGCUGGGGCUGUGCCCUCAGUGGUGAAGGAUUCUGACCAAAGACCCAGCCAGGCCAUUUCAUAAGGUGGUUGGGUCCAGCGAGAGUCCGGUAAAGCAACCGGCUGCCGAGGUCACCGUCUUCUGGGUCACGGCAUCGGCUGUGUGCUGCGGUCACUUCAGCCGUCACUGGGUCCUACGUGUAAAAAGCCUCCACGUGCCCUUUGCCAUGGGCCACACCCCUGCCCGCCUACCCCCUCGUCACACUCCGGGCCCUCCGGGAACCCGGCGGGCAGGAGAGGAGAGAGGGCGCGAGUGGAGCUGUGCCAACCGCUAAAGCUAAAAUCAACUCCUCCCUCAGGUUUUUACGAGAUGUUCUUCCCCUUGACGCUGUUUACUGCCAUUGUUCUUGUCUGUCCGUCUCCCCCGAUUAGACUGUAAGCCCGUCAAACGGCAGGGACUGUCUCUAUCUGUUGCCGACUUGUUCAUCCCAAGCGCUUAGUACAGUGCUCUGCACAUAGUAAGCGCUCAAUAAAUACUAUUGAAUUGAAUGAAUGAAAGUUCUAGGUCCUGAAAUCUCAAGGCCCAAGACUCACCCGUUAUUCCUGAUGGGAUGUUGACAACUGGCCCAUUGUCCACCCAGCCUUCAGGGAGGAGCAGGGAUUCAUUUCCUCCACUCUGGAUUGUACUUCCAAGAAAUCCUGAGCACACUCUUGUUUUGUCCUACCAGCAUCCCUGAGGAAAAACCAGUUCAGAGAAGGUGAGCUCUAGAUUUAAGUCUUCACCAGAGAUCUCGCCCUUCUCCUGCCUGUCUCUCUCGCUACAUUCAUCGCGAGACCAGGCUGACACUGCUCACUGUGAAACUCCACCCAUAUGUGUUGUUGAGAGACUAUUAUUAUUAUUGUUAUUAUUAUGAGACCAGAGUGGAGCUGCUUCUGCUUCCCAGAACUUGAGUUUAGGGCUGGUAGGAGAAGAGAGGAAAAGAAUAGCCUGCUACCAGCAUUGACUUUUUACUGAAAUGGUGAGAGUUUGCUCUGCACCAUCCACACUCUCUCACUCCCAAUAGCGGAAUGAAAGCAGUGGCUGGUGAGGAGAGGAGAGAAAGGGCAGAAUAAGAAAGAGGGAAACAAAUAUCCUGAAGGAAGAGGGUCUUGGGUGGCUGGGGGAAAGAAGAUCAAGUCAGUAGAGAAGCAUUGCUAUCUUCCUUAUCUGUCUCCCCCUCUAGACUGUAAGCUUGUUGUGGGCAGGGAAUAUGUCCAUUUAUUGUUGUAUUGCACUCUCUGAAGCACUUAGGACAGUGCUUUGCACACAGUUGGUGGACCCAGAGGGUCCCAGGCUGCAUUUGGCUGAAACCUUGAACCCUUUCAAGCAGAUCCUCGCGACCCCACGAUCCUUUUCCGUGAUGGAACAUCUCGACCGCAAGACCUGAACCCUGUGGGGACAAAGUUCAGGCUCCAAACUCAGAAACAAAACCUUUGUACUGAC